UCAAUUGAUUAGCUAGCUACAGUCCUCUGCUGGGUAGCAUUGAGCUAACUUUUAAGUUCAGGAUGGAAAUGUGGGAUACUUAUUUAUUUAAACAUGAAAGCAACCAUGUGUAUUAAUUUCAACACAUAAAUUGUCAAUAAUAAGACUAUAUUGAGAGAACUAUUGAUGAGAAAAUUGGGUUUAAAAUGACUGAGCUCGAUCUCCGUGUGUAUAACGUAGCAUCAAAAGCCACGUCCAGGGUGUGUGUCAAAUGUUUCACCAACACAUCAAUGCCUCCCGAUUGCAUGAGCACGAUGGACAAACAUCAAAGACCGUGAGAAUCAAGGCAUUCUGUUGGAUUCUCUGUCACAAGUGCAGAAUAGGUUCAACCAUUUCGACACGGACCCCAUCUUGGAUGCUGCCAAAAUCUUGGAUCCUACAGAGUGGCCCCGAAAUGAUGUUCCUGCUUUGGCACAGUAUGGGGGUGUGGAGCUUGAAACAUUAGCUGGCCAUUACUCAGCCUUCCUCCAGCCAAAAGGCUUUGAUGACCGGGAAGCAGGAAGAGAAUGGCCUGCAUUCAAGGCCUUUGUGUCAAGACAUCUACUGGACCAGCAUCUGCCAUAUCUGGAAAUGUGGAGGCACCUCUUCCUCAACUGCAAAGAUGACUUCCCGAACCUGUGUCUGCUGGCCGAAGUUGUAGUCACUUUCCCACUGAACACGGCCUGUUGCGAACGUGGCUUCAGCUAUAUGAAGAAGAUUAAGACUGAUUGGCGAUCCUCUCUGGACCCUGCCACUCUCAGCAUGUUGCUCAGGAUUACCCUUGGGGGGUGCGCCAUUGAGAACUUUGACCCAGAUAGGGCGGUGGAUGCCUUUUGGGCGAGGGAGGAGGGGCAGAGGGCCAGGAGGGCAGAAUACAUGGAAAGGCAGAGGGCCAGGAGGGACUGAAUGAAUUUUGGUACUACAGUAGACUAGUGUGGUUUAAUUGCAUCAAAAGUUCUACACUGUAUUAAAACAGGCUGCAGGCACAAUAUGAUGGAAUAAAAACAUAUGAAGGCAAAACUUAUAGUGUUGU